rnacentral:tRNA from 1 species
CUGCAGGUAGCUCAACGGAUAGAGCAUAGGUCUUCUAAACCUACGAUAGGGGUUCGAUUCCCCUCCUGCGGUCCA